rnacentral:rRNA from 1 species
AGGACGAACGCUGGCGGCGUGCUUAACACAUGCAAGUCGAGCGAGGCUCCUCCUUCGGGAGGAUGCCCUAGCGGCGAACGGGUGAGUAACACGUGGGCAACCUGCCCCUAGCACUGGGAUAACCCCGGGAAACCGGGGCUAAUACCGGAUACGACUUCGGAAGGCAUCUUCUGAAGUGGAAAAGGUUACUGGCUAGGGAUGGGCCCGCGGCCUAUCAGCUUGUUGGUGGGGUAAUGGCCCACCAAGGCGACGACGGGUAGCCGGCCUGAGAGGGCGACCGGCCACACUGGGACUGAGACACGGCCCCAGACUCCUACGGGAGGCAGCAGUGGGGAAUAUUGCACAAUGGGCGAAAGCCUGAUGCAGCGACGCCGCGUGAGGGAUGACGGCCUUCGGGUUGUAACCUCUUUCAGCAGGGACGAAGCGAAAGUGACGGUACCUGCAGAAGAAGCACCGGCCAACUACGUGCCAGCAGCCGC